UACGUAGGGGGCAAGCGUUGUUCGGAAUCACUGGGCGUAAAGCGCACGUAGGCGGAUCGUUAAGUCGGGGGUGAAAUCCCAGGGCUCAACCCUGGAACUGCCUUCGAUACUGGCGAUCUUCGAGUCCGGGAGAGGUGAGUGGAACUCCGAGUGUAGAGGUGAAAUUCGUAGAUAUUCGGAAGAACACCAGUGGCGAAGGCGGCUCACUGGCCCGGUACUGACGCUGAGGUGCGAAAGCGUGGGGAGCAAACAGG
rnacentral:rRNA from 1 species